UUCAAUUUAUUCAGAUCAUCUCCCCCAUCGCUUGGAGAUGAAUUUUUUGUCGUGUUUUAAUUUUCCGAAGAAACCCUUUCAGCUCUUUGUUGAUCCAGUUUCAAUGUGUCAAUGAAACGACGAACAACAAGAAGAAGAUAGGGUCAGCAGCUCAGAUUUCUGGGAUUGUAUUUAACUUCAGGGUUGUUUCUCAUACACGUCGGUGAUCAGUGAAGUCUCUAUCUUUCUGUAUCAUUUAAGCUCCAGCAAUUCAUUGCUCACGCUGUCUUCCAGGAAUCUAUGUGAUUGAUCAUUUGCGGGGAUCUUAAACCGUUACACAUGAUAUUAAGUCAGAGAGAUCGCCAUUGAAAAAUUCUACAAAGGUUAAAUGACUCUUGGAGUCAAAUAUGCGAGCUUUUACUCUGAGGAGGAAAGAUUACAAGCGAAGUGAUGGAGUUUUAAAAUUUUUCUCACCGAUUAUGUUAUGGACGAAAUUUACUUCAAGCCAGAAAAAGUCUGAUGGAUCUUUUUUUAUGCAUCCACGGAUUAUUACAAGGUGUGUAUAUAAUAACUCUUUUUAGAGGUUUCAAGAAAUAUAUGGUACCAUUCACAUUGCAUACUUUUGAUUGGAACUUGCACACCGGCCGUUUAUUUCAACUAGGAGUCAAAGAUUUUCUGGGUUAUUUUCCCAAGUAUUGUUGUGAUGAUGGGACUGUAAAUGAGAGACACAUUGUAAUUGGGAAAUCUUUCAAAAGUCAGCCUUAGGAUACAAGUGUAGAAUGCACUGGUAGUUUACCAAAAUCUAAUGUAGCAUAACAUAAUCUGCUUUCUCAUCCCAUUGCCAAAUGUUUGCCAGAUGUAUCUUUGGCUUUAGUACAAAUAUAAACUUCUUUGCUUAGAAUCGAUCUCUAUUAGUUGCUAAACUUCUUUAUAUUUUCUUUUCUUCCUAUUUGAAUCUGACAUUAUAUAUAAAUAUAUAUAUAUAUAUAU